rnacentral:tRNA from 1 species
UCUUCAACUACAAAAACCAA